GGGGGGGGCUGUGUUUAGGGGGUGUACCUUUAGAGACCAGUCUGGGAUUAGUUCUGGCAUCUAUAAGGACACCCUGAAUUUCCACAGCCAUCGGAAGCUAAGUUGCCAACAGGAUGAGAAUCAGUUUUUUGAAAACUUUUGCUGGUGUCUAGAUUCAUGACAAAAAUGGCAAUGAGCCUGCUAGACCUAUGUCUGCUGGGAUGGAAGCAAAGCUGGCAAAACAGCCUGUGAACUUCCUCAGAUGAGGUAACUGAGACACGGAGAAUUGAAGCGACUUGCCC